rnacentral:tRNA from 1 species
GGACAGAUAGCUCAGUGGUUAGAGCACCUGUUAUAUAUGUUCAGGAGGUCCUGGGUUCAAGUCCCAGUCUGACCA